CAAUAUCUUGAAGUACAUUUUCCAAGUUGGUUCCAUUCUCCCCAUCUCUUUCAGGGACACCAGUCAGGAAUCUACUGCACUGGGGAUGCUGAGGUUCUCACAGACUGCUUCUCAUCACACUCCCAUAGGUGGUGUCAGCCAAAAGGUUCUGUGAUGUGCUGCAGAGCCAGCAUCGAUAUGGGACAGUGUUAGCCAUUUGGGAGAAGUUGGUUUUGAUGUUCUAUUCGAUGGAUGUGCAGUUAUGUACUGCAUUGGUUGUUCUUUGUGGAGGGGACGAGUGCCAGGCACCUUUAUUCAGCCAUAUUGAAGCCCCUCCCAUCCAUUAAUACUAUGCAAGAUGGAAAAUUCUUAAAUGUUUUAAAUGAAGGCUGAAGAGAACCAGUAAAGAAAGAUUUAAAGUAUGAAGGAGCAAUAAUAUGCCCCCACCAAUGUCUUUUCCUACUAAACUCAUCAAAACAAGUCACAGAGAAACAAUGGGCAAAAUGUAUUCACUUUUUAAAAAUCUUCACUUAAUACAUGGUUUUGUUGCAGUGUUCUUUUAUAUAGGAAGUCAAAUUUGUAACUUUUAAAAAUAAAUGAGAUUUUUGUUUAUUUGUUGUCUCGAAAACGUUUACAAAACUCACUGAAAGCAUAAACAAAGAUUUUUUUUGUACAUUUAAAAUAAUUUUAGAAAAACUAUCACAUAUGACUAGGACAUACAUUUACUAUGAAUCACAGCUUAUAUGUACAGCAAAUGUACAAUCCUUUUAAUUUGUCUUCAGUUAAUCUGACCUUUCUAAUCUCCCUAGUUUUCAUACACUAGAAAUAAAAAUAACUUUGUGUCUUACCUUAUUUAAGAUCUGAUGAUGACUGUCCUUCUUGGAAUAAUAGCAGUCUCUCACAUCCCAGUUAACCAAAUACAGACUUUGGCCUCCAAUAUCAAGGAUCCCCCAAGUGGAGAAGAGAUGUUAACAAGCAAACAGUGGAGUCAGAAGACACUGGGCCAGAGAUGUCAACCCUUAAACUCUACAAUGAUAUCCGUCCCCCUGUACACACUUCCCAGCCAGGGAAGGAAGAGGUGGAAGAGAAAUUGAAAACUAAGCUUUAUUUUUCUAAACAGAUGAAAUUGAAAACUAAGCUUUGUUUUACUAAACAAAUUGAGAAAUAAUAAAAGGUAAAUUAACAGAGCUGACAUGGUGGCGCAUACCUGUAACUCCAGCUAUUCAGGAGCCUGAGAUGGGAAGAUCACUUGGACCCAGGAGUUUGAGACCAGCCUGGGCAACAUAGUGAGUCCCCAUCUCUACCAAAAAAAUUAGAAAUUAGCUGGGCAUGGUGGUGCAUGCCUGUAGUUCCAAAUACUCAGGAGGUUAAG
rnacentral:lncRNA from 1 species